UAUCUCCUCCCUCUCCACUACCUGUCCCCACUAAACUCUGCUCAGUGAGCAGUAGACUCCUCUCAAGAUUGUCAAUCUCCCUCAAUGUUGUGAUUUGCUUCUCGAGAUCUCCAAUCUGAGCUUCCAGAGAAGCCACUCGCACACAACCAUCACAGAGGUAUGGACCCUGGACGGGUACAUCCAGGCAUCCAUACAUGCAACAAGAUGUGCAUUGAGUUAAACCAGCAAUCUUGCUAACACUC